rnacentral:rRNA from 1 species
AGUAUGUGGUUUAAUUCGAUGAUACGCGAGAAACCUUACCGAGGGCUUGACAUAUAACAGGAAUGUUGUAGAGAUACAGCAGCCGCUUGCGGUCUGUAUACAGGUGCUGCAUGGCUGUCGUCAGCUCGUGCUGUGAAGUGUUGGGUUAAGUCCCAUAACGAGCGCAACCCCUAUCAUUAGUUGCCAUCAGGUCAAGCUGGGGACUCUAAUGAAACUGCCUACGCAAGUAGUGAGGAAGGUGGGGAUGACGUCAAAUCAGCACGGCCCUUACGUCCAGGGCUACACACGUGCUACAAUGGCCGGUACAAAGGGCAGCUACCUGGUGACAGGAUGCUAAUCUCAAAAGCCGGUCUCAGUUCGGAUUGGAGGCUGCAACUCGCCUCCAUGAAGUCGGAAUCGCUAGUAACCGCAGAUCAGCUACGUUGCGGUGAAUACGUUCCCGGGCCUU